GGGGGUUUAGCUCAGUGGCAUAAGCACCUGCCUUGCAAGCAGGCUGAAUUCAAUCCCCG
rnacentral:tRNA from 1 species